UGGCUCAAUGGUAGAGUGCUUGCCUUGCAUGCAUGAGGCCCUGGGUUCGAUUUCUCAG
rnacentral:tRNA from 1 species